GACGAACGCUGGCGGCGUGCCUAAUACAUGCAAGUCGAGCGAAGCGGCGGAUGGGUGAAUAACGCGUGGGUAACCGGCCCUUAAGUCUGGAAUAGCAUUUGGAAACAGAUGCUAAUACCGGAUACUAAAGGAUGGACCUGGGAUGCAUUAGCUAGUUGGUAAGGUAACGGCUUACGCAGGCGAUGAUGCCUAGCCGAGUUGAGAGGUUGAUCGGCCACAUUGGGACUGAGACACGGCCCAAACUCCUACGGGAGGCAGCAGUAGGGAAUCUUCCACAAUGGACGAAAGUCUGAUGGAGCAACGCCGCGUGAGUGAAGAAGGUUUUCGGAUCGUAAAGCUCUGUUGUUGGUGAAGCGGUAAUCAACCAGAAAGUAACGGCUAACUACGUGCCAGCAGCCGCGGUAAUAC
rnacentral:rRNA from 1 species